UGUCCAAAAGCAUAAACCCACACACGUAUCGACACGAUUUCCUGGGUGCCGUUUGUUCUGCAAAUGGUUGGAGAUUGGGAUGCGUGGAGGCCUAAC
rnacentral:sRNA from 1 species